UACAGAGGUCCCAAGCGUUGUUCGGAUUCACUGGGCGUAAAGGGUGCGUAGGUGGUGGAUUAAGUCGGGUGUGAAAUCUCCGGGCUCAACCCGGAGCGUGCGCCCGAAACUGAUCCGCUAGAGGAUAGGAGGGGAGACUGGAAUUCUCGGUGUAGCAGUGAAAUGCGUAGAUAUCGAGAGGAACACCGGUGGCGAAGGCGAGUCUCUGGACUAUUCCUGACACUGAAUCACGAAAGCCGGGGGAGCAAACAGG
rnacentral:rRNA from 1 species